UACGUAGGCAGCGAGCGUUGUUCGGAAUUACUGGGCGUAAAGAGUGUGUAGGCGGUGCUCUAAGUUCGGUGUGAAAUCUCCUGCUUAACUGGGAGGGUGCGCCGGAAACUGGAGUGCUUGAGCGUGGGAGAGGAAAGCGGAAGUUCCUGGUGUAGCGGUGAAAUGCGUAGAUAUCAGGAGGAACACCUGUGGUGUAGACGGCUUUCUGGACCAUAGCUUGACGCUGAGACACGAAAGCGUGGGUAGCAAACAGG
rnacentral:rRNA from 1 species